GAGUGUGACAUCUUACUAACAGUAUUUGACAAAUUAAUUUCUAAUACUGUUAGGUAAAGAUGCCAGCUCA
rnacentral:pre_miRNA from 3 species